AAGUCGUAACAAGGUCUCCGUUGGUGAACCAGCGGAGGGAUCAUUACUGAGUCUUCAAACCACUCAAACCCUUGCAAACCUACCUAUGUUGCCUCGGCGGGGGGCCUACUCGGGGUGGUGCCGAAAGGCGUCUACCCUAGAGUGCCUACCCUGGAAACCCACCUGUAGGACAACCUCUGGCGGGCCCAGGCGUCAAACCCGCCCGAAGUACCCUAAACUCUGUUUAAUGUGGCUUAUCUGAGGACUAUUUUAUACGUUAAAACUUUCAACAACGGAUCUCUUGGUUCUG
rnacentral:misc_RNA from 1 species